rnacentral:rRNA from 1 species
AUUGAACGCUAGCGGGAUGCUUUACACAUGCAAGUCGAACGGAGUGGCGGACGGGUGAGUAAUAUAUCGGAACGUGCCCAGUAGCGGGGGAUAACUACUCGAAACAGUGGCUAAUACCGCAUACUAUUAGAGGUGCCGAUAUGGGAUUAGCUAGUUGGUGGGGUAAAGGCUCACCAAGGCCACGAUCCCUAGCUGGUUUGAGAGGACGACCAGCCACACUGGGACUGAGACACGGCCCAGACUCCUACGGGAGGCAGCAGUGGGGAAUUUUGGACAAUGGGGGAAACCCUGAUGCAGCCAUGCCGCGUGUAUGAUGAAGGCCUUCGGGUUGUAAAGUACUUUUGGCAGAGAAGCGGUAUCUGCAGAAUAAGCACCGGCUAACUACGUGCCAGCAGCCGCGGUAAUAC